GACGAACGCUGGCGGCGUGCCUAAUACAUGCAAGUCGAGCGAAUUUACGAGAGCUUGCUCUCGUAAAUUAGCGGCGGACGGGUGAGUAACACGUGGGCAGCCUGCCUAUAAGACUGGGAUAACUUCGGGAAACCGGAGCUAAUACCGGAUAAUUCACAUCUACUCAUGUAGAUGUGCUGAAAGACGGUUUCGGCUGUCACUUAUAGAUGGGCCCGCGGCGCAUUAGCUAGUUGGUGAGGUAACGGUUCACCAAGGCCACGAUGCGUAGCCGACCUGAGAGGGUGAUCGGCCACACUGGGACUGAGACACGGCCCAGACUCCUACGGGAGGCAGCAGUAGGGAAUCUUCCGCAAUGGACGAAAGUCUGACGGAGCAACGCCGCGUGAGUGAUGAAGGUUUUCGGAUCGUAAAACUCUGUUGUUAGGGAAGAACAAGUACCAGAGUAACUGCUGGUACCUUGACGGUACCUAACCAGAAAGCCACGGCUAACUACGUGCCAGCCGCCGCAGUAA
rnacentral:rRNA from 1 species